rnacentral:tRNA from 1 species
GAGGGUACAGCUCAGUGGUAGAGCGCGUGCUUAGCAUGCACGAGGUCCUGGGUUCAAUCCCUAGUACCGCCA